UAAAAUGGGUCCUCAUAUUACUGCUCUGCGAAAACCUGAGACCACAAUUGGGACAAGAAUACGGUUUGGUGCCGGUAUGAUAAUUGAGGAAUCCAAAAGAAGAGAAUGGAAAUCUCGCGUUGAAGAAACAGGUACUGGGUCAGAUGGCGAUAAAUCGAGAUGUCGAGAUCUCGGGAAUCCGCGAAUGGUGGUACCGGAAAGACAUAUACCUCAGCGAACCGUUCCGAUGUACUUCGAGAACCGCAGAAGGGCCACCGCCCGAGGUAUCUGAAGAUUGCGUCGUGCGAGCUUUGCAACUACGAGCUACAUUGAAGGCCUAAGAAUCUGCCAACAUUCAAGGACCAGGCGAUGCGCAAGGAAUCUUUGGCCUCCUGGACAGCACAAAGCCACAUCAGCGAAUCUCUGUGACAGCAUGGCCUCCU